AACGAACGCUGGCGGCAGGCCUAACACAUGCAAGUCGAGCGAGCAUUUCGGUGCUAGCGGCGGACGGGUGAGUAACGCGUGGGAACGUGCCCUUUUCUGCGGAAUAGUCCUGGGAAACUGGGGGUAAUACCGCAUACGCCCUUUUGGGGAAAGAUUUAUCGGAGAAGGAUCGGCCCGCGUUGGAUUAGGUAGUUGGUGGGGUAAUGGCCCACCAAGCCGACGAUCCAUAGCUGGUUUGAGAGGACGAUCAGCCACACUGGGACUGAGACACGGCCCAGACUCCUACGGGAGGCAGCAGUGGGGAAUCUUAGACAAUGGGGGCAACCCUGAUCUAGCCAUGCCGCGUGAGUGAUGAAGGCCUUAGGGUUGUAAAGCUCUUUCAGCUGGGAAGAUAAUGACGGUACCAGCAGAAGAAGCCCCGGCUAACUCCGUG
rnacentral:rRNA from 1 species